rnacentral:rRNA from 1 species
UACGAAGGGGGCUAGCGUUGCUCGGAAUCACUGGGCGUAAAGGGUGCGUAGGCGGGUCUUUUAAGUCAGGGGUGAAAUCCUGGAGCUCAACUCCAGAACUGCCUUUGAUACUGAGGAUCUUGAGUUCGGGAGAGGUGAGUGGAACUGCGAGUGUAGGGAGUGAAAUUCGUAGAGAUCCGGAAGAACACCGGUGGCGAAGGCGGUGAGCUGGGCAGUUGCUGGACACUGAGGCGCGACAGCGUGGGGAGCAAACAGGG